CCAGACUCCUACGGGAGGCAGCAGUAGGGAAUUUUGCGCAAUGGGGGAAACCCUGACACAGCAACACCGCGUGAAUGUUAAGCCCUUCGGGGUGUAAAGUUCUGUCAAUAGGGACGAAUUUUGACUGUACCUAUAAAGGAAGCACCGGCUGACUCCGUGCCAGCAGCCGCGGUAAUACGGGGGGUGCAAGCGUUAUCCGGAUUUACUGGGUGUAAAGGGAGCGUAGACGGCAUGGCAAGUCUGAAGUGAAAGCCCGGGGCUCAACCGCGGGACUGCUUUGGAAACUGUUAAGCUGGAGUGCAGGAGAGGUAAGUGGAAUUCCUAGUGUAGCGGUGAAAUGCGUAGAUAUUAGGAGGAACACCAGUGGCGAAGGCGGCUUACUGGACUGUAACUGACGUUGAGGCUCGAAAGCGUGGGGAGCAAACAGGAUUAGAUACCCUAGUA
rnacentral:rRNA from 1 species